rnacentral:rRNA from 1 species
GACGAACGCUGGCGGCGUGCUUAACACAUGCAAGUCGAACGGAAAGGCCCUGCUUUUGUGGGGUGCUCGAGUGGCGAACGGGUGAGUAACACGUGAGUAACCUGCCCUUGACUUUGGGAUAACUUCAGGAAACUGGGGCUAAUACCGGAUAGGAGCUCCUGCUGCAUGGUGGGGGUGGGAAAGUUUCGGAGGUUGGGGAUGGACUCGCGGCUUAUCAGCUUGUUGGUGGGGUAGUGGCUUACCAAGGCUUUGACGGGUAGCCGGCCUGAGAGGGUGACCGGCAACAUUGGGACUGAGAUACGGCCCAGACUCCUAAGGGAGGCAGCAGUGGGGAAUAUUGCACAAUGGGCGGAAGCCUGAUGCAGCAACGCCGCGUGCGGGAUGACGGCCUUCGGGUUGUAAACCGCUUUCGCCUGUGACGAAGCGUGAGUGACGGUAAUGGGUAAAGAAGCACCGGCUAACUACGUG